rnacentral:rRNA from 1 species
GACGAACGCUGGCGGCGUGCUUAACACAUGCAAGUCGAACGGAAAGGCCCUGCUUUUGUGGGGUGCUCGAGUGGCGAACGGGUGGGUAACACGUGAGUAACCUGCCCUUGACUUUGGGAUAACUUCAGGAAACUGGGGCUAAUACCGGAUAGGAGCUCCUGCUGCAUGGUGGGGGUGGGAAAGUUUCGGCGGUUGGGGAUGAACUCGCGGCUUAUCAGCUUGUUGGUGGGGUAGUGGCUUACCAAGGCUUUGACGGGUAGCGGGCCUGAGUGGGUGACCAGCCACAUUGGGACUGAGAUACGGCCCAGACUCCUACGGGAGGCAGCAGUGGGGAAUAUUGCACAAUGGGCGGGAGCCUGAUGCAGCAACUCCGCGUGCGGGAUGACGGCCUUCGGGUUGUAAACCGCUUUCGCCUGUGACGAAGCGUGAGUGACGGUAAUGGGUAAAGAAGCACCGGCUAACUACGUG